rnacentral:rRNA from 1 species
CGAUGUCUACUAGUUGUCGGGUUUUAAUUAACUUGGUAACGCAGCUAACGCGUGAAGUAGACCGCCUGGGGAGUACGGUCGCAAGAUUAAAACUCAAAGGAAUUGACGGGGACCCGCACAAGCGGUGGAUGAUGUGGAUUAAUUCGAUGCAACGCGAAAAACCUUACCUACCCUUGACAUGUACGGAAGCCACGAGAGAUCGAGGUGUGCUCGAAAGAGAACCGUAACACAGGUGCUGCAUGGCUGUCGUCAGCUCGUGUCGUGAGAUGUUGGGUUAAGUCCCGCAACGAGCGCAACCCUUGUCAUUAGUUGCUACAUUUAGUUGAGCACUCUAAUGAGACUGCCGGUGACAAACCGGAGGAAGGUGGGGAUGACGUCAAGUCCUCAUGGCCCUUAUGGGUAGGGCUUCACACGUCAUACAAUGGUACAUACAGAGGGCCGCCAACCCGCGAGGGGGAGCUAAUCCCAGAAAGUGUAUCGUAGUCCGGAUCGCAGUCUGCAACUCGACUGCGUGAAGUUGGAAUCGCUAGUAAUCGCGGAUCAGCAUGUCGCGGUGAAUACGUUCCCGGGUCUUGUACACACCGCCCGUCACACCAUGGGAGCGGGUUUUACCAGAAGUAGGUAGCUUAACCGUAAGGAGGGCGCUUACCACGGUAGGAUUCGUGACUGGGGUGAAGUCGUAACAAGGUAACC